rnacentral:lncRNA from 1 species
CCUCAACCAUUCUUGAACAUAAACUAUAUCACGGAAUGAAACAAAACUACACGACUUCAUCUUUUAUCACAUGCACAAUAUAAUCUAUUCAAACAUCUAGUUACCAAACUAACAAUUUAAAAUGAUAAAGUCCAUGACAAGCUAAAAGCCAACUCACACAAACUAAAAGAAAACAUACAUGUGACUUACUAACCAAUACAAACUCAAAUUCAAAAAAUGCACUUGAAGAUACAUCACACAAGCAGCGAUCCCAACACUAAUUUCAGCAUUGUACUACAAUCACAGGAACAACUUAUGUUAAGCUAUUAUAAUCUAGUCAUAAAACUGAAAGAAGAAUAAAAUAGAAAUAAAACAAACAAUCACAUUUCUAUUUCAUGUUUUCCAAUUUCGGCUUCAAGUUACACUUCAAGUGACAUCCGUAGAGCUGAAAAAUACCUGAAAAUUGCACAAAAAGGAAGAGAAGUGAGGGACUAACAACACAACAGUAAUCAGCAAACCAGCAGCACCAGUACUAGCGAUUAAACCCAGUAAUUUAACCCAGCAAAAAUCAGUGAAAAAUUAACCCCAAAUAGCUUGAAUUAGAACCACCAACAACAAAACAUCAAUUCAUUUUGAGUAUCAGAAUAAGGGCCUUUAUUUUUUCAGAAAAGAAAUUGAAAUUGUCAAUGUAAGAGUGAAAUUUCUGGAGUUUUUUUGUAUUUGUUCUAGAAUUCUGUAUCAGAUUUAACAGUGUUCAAAAAGCUUCCCUCAAAUGAAAGGAAGAAGGUCUUUAAAUAGACAGAUAU